rnacentral:rRNA from 1 species
GAUGAACGCUAGCGGCAGGCCUAACACAUGCAAGUCGAGGGGCAGCACAGAAACAGCAAUGUUUUGGUGGCGACCGGCGGACGGGUGCGUAACGCGUAUGCAACCUACCUUUAACAGGGGGAUAACGGAGAGAAAUUUCCACUAAUACCCCAUAACAUCGAUCAAGGCAUCUUGAUUGGUUGAAAAAUCCGGCGGUUAAAGAUGGGCAUGCGUUGUACUAGGUAGUUGGUGAGGUAAUGGCUAACCAAGCCUACGAUACAUAGGGGGACUGAGAGGUUAGCCCCCCACACUGGUACUGAGACACGGACCAGACUCCUACGGGAGGCAGCAGUGAGGAAUAUUGGUCAAUGGGGGCAACCCUGAACCAGCCAUGCCGCGUGCAGGAAGACGGCUCUAUGAGUUGUAAACUGCUUUUAAACAGGAAUAAAGCACAGUAUGUAUACUGUGUUGAAGGUACUGUAAGAAUAAGGAUCGGCUAACUCCGUGCCAGCAGCCGCCGUAA